GUGAGCAGCUAAUGGAUAGUUCUUAGUCGACGAUCCACAUGACCUUUGCUUGCAGGUGUCAUUCCGACUAUAAUUUUUAUCAGAAUGCAAUUCAAAUUUUGUAUCCACAACUUGAUCUGUCUGAGCUGCCCAAUCCCGAGAUGGACCUGGACAAUGCUUUGACGUAGCUACAUAAGAAGCGAGGCAAUACUUAUAUAUUUUUUGAAUUCAUAAUUCU
rnacentral:lncRNA from 1 species